rnacentral:rRNA from 1 species
UACGUAGGGGGCUAGCGUUGUCCGGAAUCAUUGGGCGUAAAGCGCGUGUAGGCGGCCCGGUAAGUCCGCUGUGAAAGUCGGGGGCUCAACCCUCGAAAGCCGGUGGAUACUGUCGGGCUCGAGUGCGGAAGAGGCGAGUGGAAUUCCUGGUGUAGCGGUGAAAUGCGCAGAUAUCAGGAGGAACACCAAUUGCGAAGGCAGCUCGCUGGGACGUUACUGACGCUGAGACGCGAAAGCGUGGGGGAGCAAACAGG